rnacentral:tRNA from 1 species
AUUCAAAUAGUUUAUGGAAAACGCUGGUUUGUGGGACUAGAAAUAUAAGUAUUUAUUUUGGAUA